UUCAGAGGCAGCAAGAGAGAUUUUAGGGACCUUUGCAUUGAUUUACUGCUCUGGCAUUUAGAUUGAAGAGGUAUGGGUCCUGAAAAACUGUUGCCGCUGUUAGUAAUACUAUCAGCUCAGAAGAUGAUCACUGCACAGACAACAAUAAAUCCUCCAACCAUUACAAGUGAUAAUUCAACGACAAACACAGUGACAACAGCUGCUCCAACCACAGCCAAGACUACUCCAGACACAACAACAGCUGUUGUUACCACAACAACGUCAGAC